GUUUAUUUUAUUUAUUUAUUUUUAUGUGGUGCUGAGGAUCGAACCCAAUGCCUCACCGUGCUAUGCAAGCACUCUACCACUUAGCCACAACCCCAGCCUGUGCUUUUGCAGUGCUAGGGACAGAGGUUGGCCUGAGCCAGGAGUGCAGGCCACACUGAGCCCCACUGUGGCUGCUGUGUCAUUCCCAUCUUUCCUUGCUUAGCACGUCUUGUGGUUCAGCCCUGUGGCACCAUCCCUUGAGUAUGCUGAGGGACACUCACUACAUUUCUGCCUGCUUUCUUUGCACGCCCUGCAAGUCCCACCUGCAUGUGGAGUCCAACCUUGCCCCUCCUUGUGGCCAGUGGGCUGAGUCCAGCAAGACCAAGGCGGCCUCUGCUGGUUGCUGCCUGGCCUGCAGGGACACUGCCUCACUAGGCACUUCUCCCUGCACAUUGCCUUUCUCUGCUCCUUGGUGGGACUGAGGGCAGCUCAACACAAGUUCCCAGCAUAGCUGCUUCUUGGGGGGUCACAGUAGAGGCUGACCCUUCUGAACCUUGCCCCUUCCCUCAGCCCCAGAGCUCCAGGCAGCUGCGUGCUUCCCCACCAGUCAAGGAACUCCCUGGGGACACUGCUCAGCACUGGCCUGGGCUGUGUCCGACAGUCCCCCCCGGGCCAUAAGCACAGGGUGCAGCAGAGGACACAGGCACCUCAAAGGUCUGAGGGACCUAU
rnacentral:lncRNA from 1 species